UUUACGGAAUGUGGGUCACAUUGUUGGAUACGCGCUGCGUGGGCUAACUGGGUUCUUGAUUCUGCCAAGCAUAUCAAUAUGGCCAGCGGAGUACUGUUCAAUGACAUCCUUCACAUCAUAAGGCCUCAGAGCCUCUCGGAACUUCCGGCGAGCAACGUAAUAUUUCAUCUUGCGUAUGGACCGAAUUGCUCUUUUGUGUACGUCUGUCAGCUGCUGGACCCUUGGGGACAAGUCUGGUUCGUCUAAAAUAUGAGAUGGUCCAGUGUGCGCUGCUCCGCUAUGCCAGUGGCUAAGCUCAGGUGACUCCUACAGAAAAGAAAAGUAAGAUCAACAUUUGUAUCCUAUUAAUUAAAUCAACAUGUG